AGUGAACGCUGGCGGUAGGCCUAACACAUGCAAGUCGAACGGCAGCACAGAGGAGCUUGCUCCUUGGGUGGCGAGUGGCGGACGGGUGAGGAAUACAUCGGAAUCUACUCUGUCGUGGGGGAUAACGUAGGGAAACUUACGCUAAUACCGCAUACGACCUACGGGUGACAGCAGGGGAUCUUCGGACCUUGCGCGAUUGAAUGAGCCGAUGUCGGAUUAGCUAGUUGGCGGGGUAAAGGCCCACCAAGGCGACGAUCCGUAGCUGGUCUGAGAGGAUGAUCAGCCACACUGGAACUGAGACACGGUCCAGACUCCUACGGGAGGCAGCAGUGGGGAAUAUUGGUCAAUGGGCGCAAGCCUGAUCCAGCCAUACCGCGUGGGUGAAGAAGGCCUUCGGGUUGUAAAGCCCUUUUGUUGGGAAAGAAAUCCAUCUGGUUAAUACCCGGAUGGGAUGACGGUACCCAAAGAAUAAGCACCGGCUAACUUCGUGCCAGCCGCCGCGGUAA
rnacentral:rRNA from 1 species